rnacentral:lncRNA from 1 species
CCCAGACCCCGGCACCCUCAACAUCAUAAGGAAUCAGACGGAUGCGGAAACCGAGACGGGCUGGAUAGGAAACUCUUUCCAGGAAGGCUCCGGGGCACUCAACUGGUCUCCAACCUUCCCCUGCAACCUGUGACGCCUGCCAUUUUCCCAUUUUAGGCGAUGGCAACGCAACCCCUCCGUUUGCUCUGGGCAAAACUUCGAGAGUUCCCUCUGAAGCUGGAGCUUUUUCCUCAGAUCCAAGAUCCAAUUGGUCACCAAUUCGUGAUUUCCGUCGGCCAAGUGCGUGGGCAUUGAUCUACACGCGAGUUUCUCCACCUCUGCCGAAUGGCUACUUCGGGGUGGGGGAGGGGCCCUCCCGCCGUGGAUUGCAAGGUGUUUAGCAGCAUCUGUCUCCUCCGCUGACUAGACACAUGCCAGGGGGAUAACAUUCUCCCUCCCGCUUCCCCCAGCCGCGGCCUAGUGUCCCAGCGGGGUUGGGAGAGGCAUGUGAGGGCCAAGUUGCCCCCUGUUGAGAACCAUUGCUGCGCGUAGUCCUUCUCUCUGAACUUGUGCAGAGGACUCUCCAGGUGAAGGCUCAAGGGUGGAUCCAGCUCGAGACACCCUCGCUCCCCCUCACAGUCGGACCUUAGGAUUUAGGCUUUAACAUCUCCACAUCAUGAGAUUCGAAACCUUUAGGUCUUGUCUUCCGUUCUGUCCUCCAAAUCGGCCUCUUCCGAGCCUGUUGACCAGGGCCAGCCGGGCAGAGGGCUGGGCUCGCUCAACGAGGCUCCUCUCGCACCUCCUGGAGCUUCAGGCUUCUUUCCGUUGCAGAGAAGCUUUAUGGGCCAAUUCGUUCGGCAUCCCCGGGGGCAGGUGCGCGGUGCGCGGGGAAGAAGAGGAUUUGACUGCGGUUCUCCACCCCCGGCGCCCAACCUCCACCCCGGUGCGCGCGCUCUUCCAGGCUCCUGCUGGUCCCACUUGCCAGGAGUUAGGUCUCAGGUCAGCCUGAGCUCCUGAGACGCCCAGGCCCGGAAAGACACGUAGGGGAAACCAUCUGCUCACUUCUGUCCUGUCCGGAAGGGAUCCCUUUCUGACGGGAAAGAAAGGCGGUGAGUCCUGUCCUGUUGAGUAGGCGGAAGAGAGAUCAAAGGGAAGACAAGAAAAAUCCUGUGAGUUUUCAGGAUCUAAAGUUACCAUGAGGUCGACCUAACCUCCUCUGGAGGUCCUCCCGGUCCUCCCGUGGCUGUCGAAGGUGAAUCUAGCUUCCGUCUCCAGUUCGCCAAGGCGGACAAAGCCGACGACAAUGGGCCUGUCCACUAUCUUCUUUCAUAUGCACAAAAUGUCAGCUCUUCUUGUUUCUAACUUGCAACAUCCCACCUGAUGACCAGCUCAGCAAAUUAGAGACCCUCCAUGGGAUUCCAUCUCUGUCUUAGUUCGGGCUUCCAUAACUAUAUACCAUAAACUGGGUGGCUAAUUCACGACAGAAAUUUAUUUCUCACAGUUCUGGAGGUUGGAAGUCCGAGAUCAAGGUGCCAACAUGGUAGGGUUAUGAUGAGGGACUUUUUUCUGGUUGUAGACUGCCACCUUCUCAUUGUAUCCUCAGGGGGCAGAGAGAGCUCCCUGGGGUCCCUUUUAUAGUGGCAUUAGUCCCACUCAGACUAACGGGACUAAAUCCAGACCCAGUUAUUGCAAUGUGUGCAAAAGAACAAGGACUUGUACUAUCUGACUUCAAGGCUUACUAUAAGCUAUUACAGACAAGGCAUCAGGAGGGACAAAUAGAUAAACAGACUGAGUUAAGAGACCUGAAACUGAUCCACAGCCAUACAGUCAAUAAAUGAGCUUUCAAUGAAAGCAGUUCAAUAGAAGAAAAUAAAUCAUUUCAAUUAAUGGACUUUCAUAUGGAGGUGGGGGAGACCAACAAUGUUAUUCUCCCUCACACUACAUACAAAAGUAAUUUGAGGUGCAUUAUACACCAAAACUUAAAAGUUAAAGAUAUAAAGCAUUUCAAGGAUACUCUGUAGGUAAAGAUUAGCCUACCAACAAGUAGGACACUGAAAAAAUAUAUAUAAAAGACAUGAUAAAUUAGACUUCAUCAACAUUAGCCAUACCUUCUCAUCAAAAGAUACCACUAAGAAAGUGAAAAGGCAAGCAAGCCACAGACAGAGAGAAAAUAGUCACAAAACGUAUCUGACCUCCACAUCCUGUAAUUAGAAUUAUUGUGGUCUGGUACACUGCACCCAGUUUCUGCAGGAGUACUUUCUGGGUGUCUCUAAUGAGUAAGAGAGGGCCCCAUGGGAUAUUCCUACAGUUCCCAGAUGAACAGUGGGAAAGACUCUACGUUGACAAACCCCGGGGACCUGAAAACUCAGGUCCUCAAGGAGGGUAGAGGAUACCUGGACCCUGACCCAGACCCCUAGAUGGGCUGUGCCAAGAGACCCAGCAAGGGAAGGGAUUCCCUCCUGCCUCAGGUUCUCUGUUCUUCUGUGGUUAGAAGACCUGAACCCAACUCCCUCUCCAAGCAGUGGAGAUAGGGCUUUUCCAAGGGCUGGGGAUCUUGCUGUCCUAAGGACAGCUGAGCAAGGGGGUCGAGGAGGAGCUUGGGUGGUGGAGGAGAGGAAACCGGGUAAGAUGUGUGAAGCAGUCGGCUAUACCAGGCACAGAGAGGACCCACUGGGACACAAGAGCCUGCAUGUGAAGCCAGGCCUUGGGCCACCUUGUUCCUCAAAGGGGUGCUUACUUCCAUGGGAUCUUCAAAGGGACUGUGGAAAGAGAAGCCUUCAGCCCACACCUCUGAAUGCUUUUCCACCACAGCAUGCCCUGUGGCCUGUAUCCUGCUGGUGUGGAACAGUCAGACCCCUGCAGGGCUGCAGAGCCUCUGUACUGGGCGGCAUCCCAGCCUGAGUGCCAGAGCUCAGUGGGCAGGCCCCCGAGCAAGCAGAGAGGAGGGCACCUUUUGGACAGAACCUGUGGGACAAGAGCGACGUCUCAUCCUUUCAGGUUCCUCACAAAAUGACAGUCAGGAAGAUCAGGGUGCAGACCUGAUUUCCCACGAAGGGCUGAAAGCAGACAACCGGAGGGAGAGCAGCACCUGGGUCAAUGAGGUAGAAGACAGAAGACCACAGUGUACUUCUGCCCUCAACCUCACCCCCUCCCACCUACAUCCUCCACACCCCCUGACCACCUUCUUCAGAAACGUAAUAGGAAUCAAGAUCCCCCCUGGCCUGGUUGCUAUGGGAGGCACAGUGGCCUGAUGGAGCCUGAGGCAGGUGUGGGAAGAUGUGGAUUGUCUAACUGGAGGUUGGGAGUCCAGGGUGCAGAAGGAGAAGCUUGGAGUGCAGGAUUUGGUGGUAUGUGUGUGGCAGUAGGCACUAUGUUCUAAUUGCCAGUUUUUUUUUCUUCUUCCUUUUUUUCUCUAGCUAAACAAGCACUGGCCUUGAGAUAAGCAAUGCUGAAGCACUUGCAGCUCACCUAUUACCAUAAACUGACUGAGCCCUCCCUACACAAGCCGUAACUACUGCUUUGAUUGGACAAGAGACUGAUUUCAGUAGUUUUCUCUUGAUAAGAGACCACUGGCCGUGGGCGGGUUCUGGACAGUUUACAGAAGCUAUGCACUUGAUUGCCUUUGUGUCCCUGCUUCACCUUUUGAAGCAUAGGGCCUAAUUAUAAUGUAUUUAAAUGUUGUCUCCACCCCAAAGUGAACAUGGGUUGCAUGUAACAGGCAUGUUUACUCAGCAUGCAUGCAGCAGGAUCCCUUCACAAAUAUUCAGAGCUCCCCCUAUUCCCUGUUGAAUAUGUAUAUGUGGCCAGCCAGAUCAACGUAAAUCACUAUUCGCCCUCCCCUCCCUGGAAACCUACUUUUCGGGUUUCAGCAGGAAGCUAUGCCUCCCCGUCUGUCAGAAUGGCCACUUGCAGGCUGUAACCCUUUAUAAAAAAAUAAAAUCUCCUUUCUAAAUUUAUAAAUUGUGUGAUUUUUCAGUUGACAGCUUUCAGUUGUCAGUCAAGUCAUUG